rnacentral:lncRNA from 1 species
AGGAAACCUGCAGUGGCACCGCUGGACUUUAGUGGUGUUUUUCGGCCAAUCAGCCGGUGGUCUGGCUCUGAUUUGGCCAAAGGGAGCUUCAGCAUCGAAAAAUGAGACAAGGGGAGAAAUUUUACCUCAUUUGGUGGCCGAAAAAUCCUCCAGUGCGGCGGCGGGUGGCGAAGGCCGGUUUCUCCGGUGGCUGGGUCGUCUUCUCCAGCGAGGGUUCUGGCGGCUAGGGUUUGGGGUUGGGUGUGGAUGCGAUUAUUUAUAAC